rnacentral:tRNA from 1 species
UGACUCGUAACUCAAUUGGUCAGAGUACCGGUCCCAUACACUGGGAGUUGAGAGUUCGAGCCUCUCCGGGUCAA